AACGAACGCUGGCGGCAGGCUUAACACAUGCAAGUCGAACGAGAUCUUCGGAUCUAGUGGCAGACGGGUGAGGAACACGUGGGAACAUCCCUUUCAGUUCGGAAUAACGUUGGGAAACUAACGCUAAUACCGGAUACGUCCUUCGGGAGAAAGAUUUAUCGCUGAAAGAUUGGCCCGCGUCUGAUUAGCUAGUUGGUGAGGUAACGGCUCACCAAGGCUACGAUCAGUAGCUGAUCUGAGAGGAUGAUCAGCCACAUUGGGACUGAGACACGGCCCAAACGCCUACGGGAGGCAGCAGUGGGGAAUAUUGGACAAUGGGCGCAAGCCUGAUCCAGCCAUGCCGCGUGAGUGAUGACGGCCUUCGGGUUGUAAAGCUCCUUUGUCCGGGAAGAUAAUGACUGUACCGGAAGAAUAAGCCCCGGCAAACUUCGUGCCAGCCGCCGCCGUAA
rnacentral:rRNA from 1 species